UUAGCCAGUUGGCAGGGUAACGGCCUACCAAAUCGACGAUCAGUAGCCGGCCUGAGAGGGUGGACGGCCACAUUGGGACUGAGACACGGCCCAAACUCCUACGGGAGGCAGCAGUGGGGAAUAUUGCACAAUGGGGGAAACCCUGAUGCAGCGACGCCGCGUGAGCGAAGAAGUAUUUCGGUAUGUAAAGCUCUAUCAGCAGGGAAGAAAAUGACGGUACCUGACUAAGAAGCCCCGGCUAACUACGUGCCAGCAGCCGCGGUAAUACGUAGGGGGCAAGCGUUAUCCGGAUUUACUGGGUGUAAAGGGAGCGUAGACGGUGAAGUAAGUCUGGAGUGAAAGGCGGGGGCCCAACCCCCGGACUGCUCUGGAAACUAUUUGACUGGAGUGCAGGAGAGGUAGGCGGAAUUCCUAGUGUAGCGGUGAAAUGCGUAGAUAUUAGGAGGAACACCAGUGGCGAAGGCGGCUUGCUGGACGAUGACUGACGUUGAGGCUCGAAAGCGUGGGGAGCAAACAGGAUUAGAUACCCUGGUAGUCCACGCAGUAAACGAUGAAUGCUGGCUGUCCGGGGGGACUGACCCCUGGGUGGCGAAGCGAAAGCGAUAAGCAUUCCACCUGGGGAGUACGCCGGCAACGGUGAAACUCAAAGGAAUUGACGGGGGCCCGCACAAGCGGAGGAACAUGUGGUUUAAUUCGAUGAUACGCGAGGAACCUUACCCGGGAUUGAAAUGUAGAUGACUGAUGGUGAAAACCGUCUUCCCUUCGGGGCUUCUAUGUAGGUGCUGCAUGGUUGUCGUCAGCUCGUGCCGUGAGGUGUCGGCUUAAGUGCCAUAACGAGCGCAACCCCC
rnacentral:rRNA from 1 species